AUGUGAAUAUCCCCAAAUUUGAAAAAUUCAAAAUCUGGAACACUUCUGGUCCCAAGCAUUUCAGUAUGAUAUCUUAACAAGGAGAAAAAGGAAGAGGGUUGCAACUGGCACUCUGAAAUUGCAUAUAACCUGGAGCCUGUAAUAUUUCCAUCAAAAACAAAUUCCUAAGAGUUAAUAUGAAGUAGAAAGAGAAGUUGGAGUUAAGCAGCUCGUUCAAAUUCUGAUUUUGCCA